AGAAGAGCCCCUGCAACGGCUUAAUCAACAAAUUAAUUAUGAUGUGGUGACAGAGGCCCAGAAAUGUCUGAGCAAUCUGCUAUACAACAGCUCGGCGAUCCAGCGCAUGUGCUGUGUCAACAGCUGCAUCCCGGGCCUCAUGUGUCGCCUGAAGACCUUCAAAGACCCAGAUCUGCCGCAUCUUGUCAAGUACUUUGAUAUGAGGCUGCUCUUCCUGCUGACGGCUUUCUGUGGAGAUAUUAGACCACGGCUGAGGUCAGAGUACCAUGGGCUGACUUACCUGAUCGAGAUCCUAGACCUGUCACUUAAAACGGCCCAGGAGGA